CCACACGAAGCUGGAAUCGCUAGUAAUCGUGAAUCAGAAUGUCACGGUGAAUACGUUCCCGGGUCUUGUACACACCGCCCGUCACACCAUGGGAGUCAGCAACGCCCGAAGUCAGUGACCUGACCGAGAGGGAGGAGCUGCCGAAGGCGGGGCCGGUAACUGGGGUGAAGUCGUAACAAGGUAGC
rnacentral:rRNA from 1 species